rnacentral:misc_RNA from 1 species
GAUGAAGAACGCAGCGAAAUGCGAUACGUAAUGUGAAUUGCAGAAUUCAGUGAAUCAUCGAGUCUUUGAACGCACAUUGCGCCCCCUGGUAUUCCGGGGGGCAUGCCUGUCCGAGCGUCAUUGCUGCCCUCAAGCACGGCUUGUGUGUUGGGCCUCCGUCCUCCUCCCGGGGGACGGGGCCGAAAGGCAGCGGCGGCACCGCGUCCGGUCCUCGAGCGUAUGGGGCUUCGUCACCCGCUCUUGUAGGCCCGGCCGGCGCUUGCCGACACAUCAAUCUUUUUUCCAGGUUGACCUCGGAUCAGGUAGGGAUACCCGCUGAACUUAAGCAUAUCAAUAAGCGUAGGA